GACGAACGCUGGCGGCGUGCUUAACACAUGCAAGUCGAACGGAAAGACCCUGCUUUUGUGGGGUGCUCGAGUGGCGAACGGGUGAGUAACACGUGAGUAACAUGCCCUUGACUUUGGGAUAACUUCAGGAAACUGGGGCUAAUACCGGAUAGGAGCUCCUGCUGCAUGGUGGGGGUUGGAAAGUUUCGGCGGUUGGGGAUGGACUCGCGGCUUAUCAGCUUGAUGGUGGGGUAGUGGAUUACCAAGGCUUUGACGGGUAGCCGGCCUGGGAGGGUGACCGGCCACAUUGGGACUGAGAUACGGCCCAGACUCCUACGGGAGGCAGCAGUGGGGAAUAUUGCACAAUGGGCGGAAGCAUGAUGGAGCAACGCCGCGUGCGGGAUGACGGCCUUCGGGUGGUAAACAGCUUUCGCCUGUGACGAAGCGUGAGUGACGGUAAUGGGUAAAGAAGCACCGGCAAACUACGU
rnacentral:rRNA from 1 species